rnacentral:rRNA from 1 species
UGGGGAAUAUUGGACAAUGGGCGCAAGCCUGAUCCAGCCAUGCCGCGUGAGUGAUGAAGGCCUUAGGGUUGUAAAGCUCUUUCACCGGUGAAGAUAAUGACGGUAACCGGAGAAGAAGCCCCGGCUAACUUCGUGCCAGCAGCCGCGGUAAUACGAAGGGGGCUAGCGUUGUUCGGAAUUACUGGGCGUAAAGCGCACGUAGGCGGACAUUUAAGUCAGGGGUGAAAUCCCGGGGCUCAACCUCGGAACUGCCUUUGAUACUGGGUGUCUUGAGUAUGGAAGAGGUAAGUGGAAUUGCGAGUGUAGAGGUGAAAUUCGUAGAUAUUCGCAGGAACACCAGUGGCGAAGGCGGCUUACUGGUCCAUUACUGACGCUGAGGUGCGAAAGCGUGGGGGAGCAAAACAGGAUUAGAUACCCUGGUAGUCCACGCCGUAAAACGAUGAGUGCUAGCCGUCGGGCAGUUUACUGUUCGGUGGCGCAGCUAAACGCAUUAAGUUCCCCGCCUGGGGAGUACGGCCGCAAGGCUAAAAACUCAAAAGGAAUUGAC